AUUGAACGCUGGCGGCAUGCCUUACACAUGCAAGUCGAACGGUAACGCGGGGCAACCUGGCGACGAGUGGCGAACGGGUGAGUAAUACAUCGGAACGUGCCCAGUAGUGGGGGAUAGCCCGGCGAAAGCCGGAUUAAUACCGCAUACGACCUAAGGGUGAAAGCGGGGGAUCGCAAGACCUCGCGCUAUUGGAGCGGCCGAUGUCAGAUUAGCUAGUUGGUGGGGUAAAAGCCCACCAAGGCGACGAUCUGUAGCUGGUCUGAGAGGACGAACAGCCACAAUGGGACUGAGACACGGCCCAGACGCCUACGGGAGGCAGCAGUGGGGAAUUUUGGACAAUGGGGGCAACCCUGAUCCAGCCAUGCCGCGUGCGGGAAGAAGGCCUUCGGGUUGUAAACCGCUUUUGUCAGGGAAGAAACGGUCUGCGCUAAUACCGCGGACUAAUGACGGUACCUGAAGAAUAAGCACCGGCUAACUACGUGCCAGCCGCCGCCGUAAAAC
rnacentral:rRNA from 1 species